GACGAACGCUGGCGGCGUGCUUAACACAUGCAAGUCGAACGGAAAGGCCUGCUUUCCCUUGUGGAUUGCGGGUACUCGAGUGGCGAACGGGUGAGUAACACGUGAGUGAUCUGCCCCCAACUUGGGUAUAAGCCUGGGAAACUGGGUCUAAUUCCCGAUAGGACUGCAGGGUGGUGCCUGUGGUGGAAAACGAUUUUCUAGUGGUUGGGGAUGAGCUCGCGGCCUAUCAGCUUGUUGGUGGGGUAAUGGCCUACCAAGGCGGCGACGGGUAGCCGGCCUGAGAGGGUGGACGGCCACAUUGGGACUGAGAUACGGCCCAGACUCCUACGGGAGGCAGCAGUGGGGAAGAUUGCACAAUGGGCGGAAGCCUGAUGCAGCGACGCCGGGUGGGGGAUGACGGCCUUCGGGUUGUAAACUCCUUUCGACAGCGAGGAAGCCACCUGGUUGGAAGGGUGGUGACGGUAGUGGUAGAAGAAGCACCGGCUAACUACGUG
rnacentral:rRNA from 1 species